CUGUAGGAGUGGAAAUGCAAAGCACAGCUUUCACCCCAUUAACAUGCUAAUUCAUUUGGAGGAAAUUGAAAAAGCAGUUUCACCUAUUUUAUUUGCAGGUCCCUGCUAGUCUGUUACAGAACCUGUUAAGCCACCAUGCCCAUGGCAUAGUUGACAACCCUGGAGGGAGCAUCAACCUUAGGGAUGUUCCACCAUGUACAGCAUGGGAGUAGCAUAGGUCAAGGGUGGGAUGACAGCCACUGCAGUCUUCCUGUUUGUGAAACACAGAAGAAUAUGAGCAGCAGUUAAAACCAAGGUAAAAGGAACCACACUACUUUCCGAUAAAUUUCAAGAGCUUCAGAGCUUCCCACUCUUCAAAGGCUUUCUGCAAUAAAAGCUUCCAGCAGAAGAGCAUAUGUGGAAUAACAAAGCUCAGUAAAAUCCAACUAAAUGAAAAGGAAGGUGACAGCCAGGAACCCUAAAUCAAAGAAAGAAAUGCUGUGAGCAGAAUGCAGCUUUCUGAGGUGCUUAGAAAUGGAAAUACUCUUUUGGAAAUCAUGCUGGACUGAAGACCUAGACUGAGAUUCCCAGACUCUAAUAAAAAUAUGGCAUAGCAAAGUACUGGCUAAAUGGUGCCUAAGCAGUGAAACACAUUGUCCUGGCCAGUACUGAAAGCUGUUGCUACUGCAACUUCUGCUACCUCUACCAGCAGUGGCUAAGGUCAUAGUGGGCAAGAGGUAUAUAAGAACCACUGAUCCAGAUUAUUUUACUUCAUCUGAAAACUGAGGUAAUGUGUUCUUACAUUUCUCUAAGAAAAACAGGAAUGCACUAAAGAGUGGGAAGAAUCUGCAGAGCUGAUUGGAGCAGUGUAAGGUAUGUAGUGGA